rnacentral:rRNA from 1 species
CUGAUGCAGCCAUGCCGCGUGUAUGAAGAAGGCCUUCGGGUUGUAAAGUACUUUCAGCAGUGAGGAAGGCGGGUACGUUAAUAGCGUGCUCGUUUGACGUUAGCUGCAGAAGAAGCACCGGCUAACUCCGUGCCAGCAGCCGCGGUAAUACGGAGGGUGCGAGCGUUAAUCGGAAUUACUGGGCGUAAAGCGCAUGCAGGUGGUUUGUUAAGUCAGAUGUGAAAGCCCGGGGCUCAACCUCGGAAUUGCAUUUGAAACUGGCAGACUAGAGUACUGUAGAGGGGGGUAGAAUUUCAGGUGUAGCGGUGAAAUGCGUAGAGAUCUGAAGGAAUACCGGUGGCGAAGGCGGCCCCCUGGACAGAUACUGACACUCAGAUGCGAAAGCGUGGGGAGCAAACAGGAUUAGAUACCCUGGUAGUCCACGCCGUAAACGAUGUCUACUUGGAGGUUGUGGCCUUGAGCCGUGGCUUUCGGAGCUAACGCGUUAAGUAGA